GUUCCAGGAAGAUGAUGUUGAAGACACAGGAAUAGAUAAGCUUUUUGACACCACACAUCAAAAUGUUGGGUUUCUCUUUCAAAAGAGAGGAUGGAACUUUCCAAGUUUUCAAGAUGAGCACUGCUGCUUCUUUCAGGUGGUCAAAUUUUGGAACCCAGAUCAUAGAAGAUGCCACAGGUGGAGACAAUAUGAUGGCCUUAUACAUUUUACUACAAAUGGAGUCCAUGCCAAAAAAAACCCCCAAAAACCUCACAGGCACACAUUCAGAGACUAUAAGUAAAGAAGGUGUCCUGUUUGCCGGCACAGCCCCAGUGCAAUUUUUAAUGGAAUACAGAGUUCAAGGAGUUCGAACCACCAAUUCAAUUAUAAUAAACAGACACACAGAAGACAACUAUGGGAUUGAAA